rnacentral:lncRNA from 1 species
AAAAAGAACUUCAUGCCAAGCUGGAAAGGACCUAGUGUGGAUGGCCUUAUCUGGAAAAGCGUCAAUCUUGAUUGGAAGGGAUAACAAGGACAUGCCUAAUCCUAUGAGUUCAAAUUUAAUAAAAAUGUUUAAAAAAAGAGAAAAAAGAAAAAAAAAAGAAAAAGAAAAAAAAGAUGAAGAAAAGAAAAAAAAGAAAAAGAAAAAGAAAAAGAAAAAGAAAAAGAAAAGGA